UUGCCAUCUGCGCAACUAAGAAGCUUUUUCUCUUGAGAAGAUUUCCGUGUAUACCUUCGUGCUUUAAAUGUGUGUAUGGCAAUUUUGUAUAGAUUGACGGAUGGAUGCCGCGAGCGUCUCCUUUAUGACGGGGUAGUAGCUCCGGAGACAAGUUGCAACAACUUCCAAGCUACGGAAGGGAAUGCCGACAUUCACACCACGGCAGUCUUCAAGCUGACGACGAACAUCACAGUUACGAAAAAGCGGAAAUUUUAUCCACAAAGUAACAGCUUCCCAGCAGAAAUACACGGGCCCAGUUAAGGCACU
rnacentral:lncRNA from 1 species